GGAAGACGAAGGUAACAAGGAAACAGAAGAGAAGCCUGAGAUAGGAAUCUCAAGCGGACUCGUUUGGUUGGUUGGUAUGACAAUUACGAUUGCUCUGCUAUCAGAGUAUGUUGUGGGUACCAUAGAGGAUGCUUCAGCUUCUUGGGGUAUUUCUGUAAGCUUUAUCAGCAUUAUAUUGCUACCGAUAGUUGGAAAUGCAGCAGAACACGCUGGAUCAGUCAUAUUUGCAUUCAAGAACAAGCUGGAUAUAUCUUUAGGUGUUUCUCUGGGGUCUUAUAAAUGACCUUCCCUGGUAACUAUUUUACUUUGUAUGUUGAUUGAUCGAGCGGGACUCUUCGGGUUGGUCGAGCAGGGCUCUUCGGGACGAUGCUGAUGGAUCUCCUCACUUCGGAUUCUACGUGGGUAACGCCUGUGCUUUAGCUUUGGACGAUUGCACCAGAACUGUUUGAUAGAGUGCCUCAAUGAAGAUUUGAAUUAGCUUUCGACGAUUUUUUUAUUUUAUUUUAUACGGUAAUCAUACUGUUCUUGUGGUGUAGAUUAAAAGUGAUUUGAGGCUUUGGCACUCUCCUGGUCUAGAAGAAAUUUUGAGUUCUUAGUUUCAGUUUAUUAUGGAGAGGAGGUCUAGGUAGAAAUUGCAGUUUUAAAAAGUUUGUUUCGCGCCUGGUUUUAUUAUUCGAUUAUGUUGGCGGUGUUAGGACUUAUACGCUGGUUUCAAGUGCCUCUGUACUUUUAGAGCGACUCCUAAGAGCUGCAUUUCAUGUGGGUAAAAAGGUUUUUGAUAUUGAUGUUUGCAAACCUAUUGUUUCUCUGUUUAUGCUGCAGUGACUCGAAUGAUAGUAGGCAGGCCGCAGGAAUAGGAAUAGAAUUUAUUGUUAAGCAAAAGAAAUUGAAAGGGAAAAGAUUGUAAAGAGAUUCUGGGUCAAAUGACGGAUUCAGCUAGAUGAUCAAAGCGGGUAUGUAUGUUAUUCAUCUCCACACUAGCAAAUCACGUAUGUACUUUUGCUAAAAUUCAGGGUUGAUUUAUGUUAUAUGAUCAUGAUCAUGGGCAAUUAUCUGUUUUUCAAAUUUUGAAGUUAUAGCAGGGAAUUACUGUGCAACGGGUUAAAGAGGAAAAAGUGUGAUGAGAAACACAAUCUUUUGGAGAGACUCCUAGGAGCUGCAUUUCAUGUGGGUAAAAAAGUUUUUGAUAUUGAUGUUUGCAAACAUACUGUUUCUCUGUUUUUGCUGCAGUGACUCGAAUGAUAGUAGGCAGGAUUAGGAAUAGAAUUUAUUUUUAAGCAAAAGGAAUUGAAAGGGAAAAGAUUGUGAAGAGACUCUGGAUCAAAUGACGGAUUCAGCUAGAGGAUCAAAGCAGGAUAUGAUGCUGCUGGAGUUGAAGAAAUUUGGUUGACAAGAAGCUGCUUAACAAAAUGCCCCCAGGUGACAACUCUGCUCCAGCAGAACUGCAGUCGCUGAUGGGCAAGAAAUAUGUGUUGAAGUUGUCACAAAACAAGUAUAAUAUUGUUGAUGACAGAUCGAGAGAAUCAUGGGUGCAAGAGAAAGCUCGCACCUGAUCUCAGGUUGCUUCUUAGAGCCAGACCUUGCACAGCACUUAAGGCCUUAUUAGCUUCAUCCAUGUUACAGUGCCAACUUUUAUGACUCAUGCAUGCCAUAAAACAAGGCAUAUGUAAUUAGAACCUGGCUUCUCCUUUUAUUUUUACCCUGUGACUGAUGUUUCCCUUACCCUCUGCAUUGUGGCUCUUCUAAAGUUGACUGCAUGUUUGGUAUAAAAAUUAGCAAAAGCA